rnacentral:rRNA from 1 species
CCCGCUGAACUUAAGCAUAUCAAUAAGCGGAGGAAAAGAAACCAACAGGGAUUACCCUAGUAACGGCGAGUGAAGCGGUAAUAGCUCAAAUUUGAAAUCUGACCUUUACGGGUUCGAGUUGUAAUUUGUAGAGGAUGUUUCGGGCAAGACUUUGGUUUAAGUUUCUUGGAACAGGACGUCAUAGAGGGUGAGAAUCCCGUCUAGAACCGAUAGUCGAGUCCAUGUGAAACUCCUUCGACGAGUCGAGUUGUUUGGGAAUGCAGCUCAAAAUGGGUGGUAAAUUUCAUCUAAAGCUAAAUAUUGGCCAGAGACCGAUGGCGAACAAGUACAGUGAUGGAAAGAUGAAAAGAACUUUGAAAAGAGAGUGAAAAAGUACGUGAAAUUGUUGAAAGGGAAGGGCUUGAAAUCAGACUUGGUAUUCAAUGAUCAAUUUUCUUUCGGGGAGAUGCACUCGUUGUUUACUGGGCCAACAUCGAUUUAGACGGUGAGAUAAUGACAGUUGAAUGUGGCUUGCUUCGGUAAGUGUUAUAGCUUCUGUUGAUAUCAUCAGUUUAGAUCGAGGACUGCGCAUUUUUGCUAGGAUGUUGGCGUAAUGAUUUUAAGCCACCCGUCUUGAAACACGG